rnacentral:rRNA from 1 species
GACGAACGCUGGCGGCGUGCUUAACACAUGCAAGUCGAACGAAGUGGCGAACGGGUGAGUAACGCGUAAUCAACCUGCCCUUCAGAGGGGGACAACAGUUGGAAACGACUGCUAAUACCGCAUACUGAAGGAGGGGAUUGCGUGUGAUUAGCUAGUUGGGGGGGUAACGGCCCACCAAGGCGAUAAUUAGUAGCCGGUCUGGGGAGAAGAACGGGCAAAAUGGGACUGGGACACGGCCCAGACUCCUACGGGGGGCAGCAGUGGGGAAUCUUCCGCAAUGGACGAAAGGCUGGCGGAGCAACGCCGCGGUAGUGAUGACGGCCUUCGGGUUGUAAAGCUCUGUUAAUCGGGACGCGGUACCGGAAUAGAAAGCCACGGCUAACUACGUGCCAGCAGCCGCGGUAAUAC